GCAGCAGUGGGGAAUCUUGCACAAUGGGCGAAAGCCUGAUGCAGCGACGCCGCGUGCGGGACGAAGGCCUUCGGGUCGUAAACCGCUUUCAGCAGGGACGAGGCCGCAAGGUGACGGUACCUGCAGAAGAAGCCCCGGCUAACUACGUGCCAGCAGCCGCGGUAAUACGUAGGGGGCGAGCGUUAUCCGGAUUCAUUGGGCGUAAAGCGCGCGUAGGCGGCCUGCUAGGUCGGGAGUCAAAUCCGGGGGCUCAACCCCCGUCCGCUCCCGAUACCGGCUGGCUUGAGUCUGGUAGGGGAAGGUGGAAUUCCCAGUGUAGCGGUGGAAUGCGCAGAUAUUGGGAAGAACACCGGUGGCGAAGGCGGCCUUCUGGGCCACGACUGACGCUGAGGCGCGAAAGCUAGGGGAGCGAACAGGAUUAGAUACCCUGGUAGUCCUAGCCGUAAACGAUGGACACUAGGUGUGGGCGGAUUGUCCGUCCGUGCCGCAGCCAACGCAUUAAGUGUCCCGCCUGGGGAGUACGGCCGCAAGGCUGAAACUCAAAGGAAUUGACGG
rnacentral:rRNA from 1 species